UUAGAACACAGACAGCAAUAUCUGUUCUUUUAGAACAUGUAGAUGCCUGUGAAGUAAUGGCUGGUCUGAGAAUCGUUGAGGGGACCAAAUAGCAAAGGAUCAAAGUCCGAAUGAAAUAGGACCACCUUCCUAACUCAAGCCUACUGUGACAUCACCCUGCACUAUUCCACUUUUCAUUUUCCCACAAGGUAAAGUCCUUGAUUACAUUUGACAAAAAGGCUAUAGAACAAGAAGAGCAGUGAUGUUAGAGCACUUAAAGAAUGGUGUUCCCAGGAAUGAAAGAUUGAUGAAGGCUCUGUUAGAGGGGUGGUGUUCCAGCUGCGCCUUAAAGCAAAGGUCAAGUUUGAAUUGAUAGAGGUGAGAAAGGAAGACAUUCCAGAUGAGAACGGCAUUGUAAGGGAAUUCCUAAGGGUGAAAGGAAGCAAGAAUUAUCUACCCGAGCCCAUAAUGCUGAUCCCACCUUGGAGAUGCCAGUUCAACCACUGGAAUGUGAGUCCGAAAAAAGAGCAUAAAAGACCACUGGACUGUAAGCUCCUUGAGGUCCACGGCCUUGCGUGAUCCUUCCUUGUGCUCCUUGACUGGGCAAGAGCGAAUAGGAAGACAUUGGUCGACAUAACAAGAAGAAUCCAGUAGAAUGCCCACUGAGAGAAUCUACUAGAACCUUUUCCUUAUAAAGAAGAACAUGGAAAUAAAGAUCAUCCUUAUUACCCCAAAUUUCACCAUCUGCACUCAAAAAUCAACUACAAAUAUCUUUCAUUCUGCGAAUGUCGAACUCUCACUGUCCUAACAGAACCCUUGUGCCGAGUGAUAGCAAGCGUAGUUUUGAAACAGCCAAGGGUCUCAGCAUGGGAUCUCAGCCGCCUGGAUCUACUGCCACGACUUCUUUUCUUUCCAAAAAUGCAUUCUAUAUAUCCACAACUCUUCAACCCAUUCACAUUUGGAAGACCUUCUUCUGUAACUGCAGAGAUUUUGCCUGGUAGUCAGGUUAGGGGGACAGAUUCGGUUGGCCUCCCAGAGAGUGUAACUUGGUUGCCAAACAGCAAGAGGAGAAAGACCUCCCCCAAAACCCGGUGUUUGAGAAUGUGGAGAGUGGGCAGACAGAUGCCAUUCCCCAAAUCUUAGAAUUAAGGAAUAGCUGAUCAUUCUCCGACAUACGCUUCCUAAAAGAAAUACACGAUUGGCAAGCACAUGGAUAAAUGUGGUCACCUGAAAGGUUCAAAUGACUCCAACCAUCAGCCCUGAAGACAGUCUGCGAGCACGAGGUGUCCAAAGAAAUCAUGCAUUGGUCAGAAGUGAGGAUUGGCCAAGUAAGUGUAGACGAAGGAAGGCCACCAAGGAAAACGUUGGCAGAGCUCAUCUAAGGUGCUCUCUAGAGAAAAGUAAAUCUCAAUUCUUAGACUUUACGUACUUCCUAUACAAUCUUAUGGAAAGUCCAUCCUGAUGUCAUGUUGUAUAAAUACAGGAGAUAAGAAGAUAUUAUCUUAAUUGAAGUUUGCCUUCUCUACUCAGACUACCCAAACUAGAGGCUAACCUCGCUAACUUUCAUUCAGCCGGAAGCAUUCAGGGCCUCAGAAGAAUUAUAACAGUCAGAAUGCAAAGACUAAGCUUCAAGCAAACUCAACUUUAAAUUGCUAGACAUACGCUUGAAACCCAAGGACGAGACUUUGGUUUCAUCAGACAGGCCUGGCCCUGUGCUAAAUAAUAUUCAUAGAAGAAUAAAUAUCACCCAGAAACAGUUCUUCCUGUGAAUUCAGAUGAGAUGAAGAUCCCAUGGGCCAGGAUCAGCAUAUAUGUGAAAGGAAACAGGGCAGAUGCCCCUGAGUGUGCUAUGAAAGGAUCUACCCUCUAUCCCCAGACCUAGUUCUGGAGGACCACAGAACUCUCUAUUUGUUAAGGUAAUACUUGCUGCUAUCACCAAAUUUUGAAGGCUUACCGCAGUAGUAUUUUAUUUUUUAUUUUUUUUAUGCAAGUGUCCAAGCAGGUUGGUCUGAUCGGUAGGCAGCUGUUGUCCAUCUGAUGACUCAUGUACUCCAGCUCCUCCCAUCUUUGACUUCCUCAAUUCCUUGGAAACUUAGCAUCCAACAGGCAGAAGAAAAAAAGAGAAGGUGAGAAAGCCACCCCCACUUUUUAUAAACCCUGCUAUAGAAAUGGCAUACGUCACCUCUACUCUCAUUCAAUUGGCAAGAACUAUUUGAAUUACAUACCCGCAACUUGAUGCAAAAACUUGGAAAUACAGCCCCUGGCUACACAGUCUAGACGGGGCAAUUAUUCCAUACUGUGGAAGGAGAAGCAUGCCAUUUUGGUGGAAAGCUGGCCAUUUCCGCCACUAAUUACCAUGUAGGUUUGGGCUAUAGGACAAAAUCAACAUGCACCCCAUUUCCCAUCUGUGGUUCUGAAAAGUGGCAAGAUUUGAGGGGAUUCUGCACGCUAAAAUGAUGAAGGAGCAGUCAAGAAGAAAUGUAGCUUGAGUAGUCACAGAAGUUCAAAGACAUCCCCUACCCAGCACUCCCUCAUUGGCACCCUCCUUGGAAGUCUGCUGUGCCUCCAGAGCGGUAUGGGAGAGCACAGGAACUUUUCUUGUGUACCUGCAGAGCCUCUUCCAGAAGAGCACGACGGUAUUAGAAAGAAAGCUGGCAGAUGUGAAGGGGCCCCCGGAGUAGGAUGAAGGGAAGCCACGGAGUGCUACCGUGAGGCCUACAUGGGGUGGAGGUGGGGGUGGGGCGUGGGAAUGUAGCAGGCUGAGCCGAUGCCAGCAAAGUAGGAAACGGUGAGCCAAGACGAGGUGGCCCUUGCCCUCAGUGCCCUGACACUAAGUAAACUUCCCAAGACUUAGAAAUCCACAAAAGAGGAAGAACAAUUCUGGAUUGACUGAGUCUACCUUGAAUCGAGUAUGUUUAACUGUUCGAAAUUAAGUGAUUCUGCUACCAGACAGAAUGGGACUCAAGCUAAAAAUUAAAUGCAAUUAAAUGAAAUUACUUAUUUUGAGGAGCAUACCCAAGAUUAUGAUUUCAGAGUUAGUUGCUACUACGUGUGUAAUCAGUUGUCUUAGCCUGGUUGCAUACUCCCCAAACAAUUCCAAAUUUUUAAUUUUCUUACCAUGUUCCACUGUCUACUGAGUAAACACGGGAGUCAAACUGUA